GUGUGUGUUCGUUUUUGGUAUUAUAUUUAUUGUAUGGACAGUAAAAUAUUGUGCAAAUUUUUCAAUUAGCCCACAUAAUGACGAAUUCUGGCACUUUUUUUUCAUUGAAACCGCAUUGGGUCUUAGACGAUGUCUGCAUGAGGCGCGAGCUUCUACACACGUUUCUGUUAAUUUCAGUCUGAAUGAACACACUUUGCAGGUCUUAAAAAGGGAAAGGGCGAACGUGCUGCGAUUUUUUUUUUUUUUGAGUGAAACUUUUUUUGUUGCAGUACAAGAGCCGUUGCUGUUAGAUGUCAGUGUACGGGGUGGGUGUGACCGAGCAGAAGGGGAAAGCCACGGUUCAACCGCUGACUUACUUUGAAUGGCAGUAGCACUACGAAAUCCAGCCUACUGGGUGAAUAGCGAGAGGACAAGCCAGUCUGACAGCAAGGGUCAUUAUAUGAUUACUGCCAUCGGUGGAAGUACAUUUGCUAGACAGUCACGCAGAUUUCUCAUAGUUAAAAAGUGUCCUGCGUCUCCGGUCCCGGACGUUCAAGUUUCCAGCUCCGGAGGGGAGAAGCGACGGUGCGCGGAAUGGAGGAGGAAUCAGCUUUGCCGACGGCUUCGUCCUCUGCAGGGACACUUCAGGGGAAGCUGGACAAAACCAGAGUGGAAUAAUGGUGCAGGGUGUGAUUUGGCUCGGCGGAAAUACACUGCGACCUACACGCCCCCCCCCCCAGAGAAAGCCACCCAGGUGCAAGUAGGGAUCGUGAAAACUUGACCAGUCAUCAGUGGAGCUGCAUAAAGCACGCCCUGGCAGGAAGCCGUGGCUUGAUGAGUCAGCACAGCGUUGCCCCCAAGAGAGCCGUGGGGAGGAUGGAG